GUCUAUGGCCAUGCCACCCUGAACAAGCUCAAUCCCAUCUGAUCUCAGAAACUAAGCAGGGUCGGAUGGAAGACCACCUAGGAAGACCAGGUGCUGCAGGUC
rnacentral:rRNA from 1 species